rnacentral:lncRNA from 1 species
UAGUGAAUAUGAGUAAAAUAUCAGAUAAAUGUGCCUUCCCAUUGAUGAAUUCAUUAGGCGAGCUCCACACUUGGUUUUGAAAGAUUUUACAUUGCAGAACAUGACUCAUGCCACAUUAGUGAUGGCUGUUGGAAGAUGUGGUCUGAAGAUGAGACAUUCAUUUUAAUCCCAUGUGUCAUUGGAAAAAAUGGUCAGAGAACAAUUGGAAGGUACCUAAGGAACUUGGACUGGUAUAGGCAUUAAAGUGCAAGGGAAGACCUUAAAGUUGAUGUCUUGUGUAGGAUGGAAAACAUCGGUACCUAAAGACAGCCAUCGAAUCAAGAGAAACCUAUUCAAUUUAUCUUAUUCUACAUGCUAAACGAGCUUCAAGCAUAAGACCAUAUUGGUUACAUUACUUGAAGUUCCCCAACAUAUGAUUGACUCAUUAAGUGCCUUGCUGAGAUGUAUGAGUUCUUCAUUCACUCAUCAUAUGAAACAGAUUUACCCGCGGUCCCCUUUCUUAGAAUAUACGGUAGAGAAAUACAGCCAGCAUGCAGAAAAUCAAAGAGUGAUUGGCCUGAUAUGAUUGAUGGUGAAAGAUUAUGUAC